rnacentral:rRNA from 1 species
AGUGAACGCUGGCGGUAGGCCUAACACAUGCAAGUCGAACGGCAGCACAGUAAGAGCUUGCUCUUACGGGUGGCGAGUGGCGGACGGGUGAGGUAUGCAUCGGAAUCUACUUUUUCGUGGGGGAUAACGUAGGGAAACUUACGCUAAUACCGCAUACGACCUACGGGUGAAAGCAGGGGAUCUUCGGACCUUGCGCGAUUGAAUGAGCCGAUGUCGGAUUAGCUAGUUGGCGGGGUAAAGGCCCACCAAGGCGACGAUCCGUAGCUGGCCUGAGAGGAUGAUCAGCCACACUGGAACUGAGACACGGUCCAGACUCCUACGGGAGGCAGCAGUGGGGAAUAUGGGACAAUGGGCGCAAGCCUGAUCCAGCCAUACCGCGUGGGUGAAGAAGGCCUUCGGGUUGUAAAGCCCUUCUGUUGGGAAAGAAAAGCAUCAGGUUAAUACCCCGCUGUUCUGACGGUACCCAAAGAAUAAGCGCCGGCUAACUUCGUG